AACCUAGCACACCUGCGGUGUGUACCUGCGGAGGGAUCAUUACCGAGUUUACAACUCCCAAACCCCUGUGAACAUACCUAUACGUUGCCUCGGCGGAUCAGCCCGCGCCCCGUAAAACGGGACGGCCCGCCCGAGGACCCCUAAACUCUGUUUUUAGUGGAACUUCUGAGUAAAACAAACAAAUAAAUCAAAACUUUCAGCAACGGAUCU
rnacentral:misc_RNA from 1 species